rnacentral:rRNA from 1 species
UACGUAGGGGGCUAGCGUUGUCCGGAAUCAUUGGGCGUAAAGCGCGCGUAGGUGGCCCCAUAAGUCCGCUGUGAAAGUCAAAGGCUCAACCUUUGAAAGCCGGUGGAUACUGUGGGACUAGAGUACGGAAGAGGCGAGUGGAAUUCCUGGUGUAGCGGUGGGAUGCGCAGAUAUCAGGAGGAACACCAAUAGCGAAGGCAGCUCGCUGGGACGUUACUGACACUGAGGCGCGAAAGCGUGGGAGCGAACAGG